rnacentral:tmRNA from 1 species
CGGCUUGAUUUCCGCCCCCGGCCGCCUUACCUUCAAAGUGUCCUUAGGGACUAUGGUGAUAAACGCGCAGGUAAUAAGCGGAUCGGACCCGGGGGCGGUACCCGGCGGCUCCACCAAACCUCUUUUGUUGGAAGAGCAUGGGGCCGAAACAGGAUCGACGGACGUCUAAAGCUGUGGCUUUCACUCGGUGAGCUACCACCGUUAUCGGUGCGAAAAGUAUAGUUGCCAACAACAACCAUGCUCCGGUUGCUCUGGCUGCGUAAGCAGUUCGAGUAAUCGAAAUCUAAGCCCUUGCGCCUAGCAGCGUAAGGCGGGGUUCGCAGGCACCUGGCAACAGAAGCCUGCACU